UCUCCGUUGGUGAACCAGCGGAGGGAUCAUUACCGAGUUCUUACAACUCCCAAACCCCUGUGAACUUAUACCUAUACUGUUGCUUCGGCGGGUCAUCGCCCCGGGGAAAGACAGGGAGCCGGCAACGGCCCCCUGGAAAACCCCCCGGAACCAGGCGCUCGCCGGGGGACUUAAACUCUGUAUUUCUCUUUACUGUAUUGUAUACCGUCUGAGUGACAAAAAACAUAAUGAAUCAAAACUUUCAACAACGGAUCUCUUGGUUCUGGCAUCGAUGAAGAACGCAGCGAAAUGCGAUAAGUAAUGUGAAUUGCAGAAUUCAGUGAAUCAUCGAAUCUUUGAACGCACAUUGCGCCCGCCAGUACUCUGGCGGGCAUGCCUGUUCGAGCGUCAUUUCAACCCUCAGGUACCCCCCGCUGCGUCUGUGGCGGGUGGGAGCCUGGUGUUGGGGACCGGCGGAAAACCUGCCCCAGGGCAGCCGCCGCCCCCUAAAUGAAUUGGCGGCCUCGUCGCGGCCCUCCUCUGCGUAGUAGCACACACCUCGCAACGGGAGCCCGGCGGCGGCCACUGCCGUAAAACGCACCAUCUUCUCUUCUAGAGUUGACCUCGAAUCAGGUAGGACUACCCGCUGAACUUAA
rnacentral:rRNA from 1 species